rnacentral:SRP_RNA from 1 species
UGCUGGGCCUUUGGCAGGGACUGGCGUUAACCUGGUCAGGACAGAAAUGUAGCAGCCAUAGCGGUUCAUUUUCUGGGUUUUGUCUCACUUACA